rnacentral:lncRNA from 1 species
AGACCCCCGAUGUCAAGGCCUCUAAAGGGAUUAGGAGGACCGUAGAGGUUUACUGAUAGGGAGUUAGAAGGAAAGAGGGAGCCGGGCUUUGUCAAGGCUUGCUUUUGAGGACUACAAAGAGGAGGGAGCACAUGGAAAUUGAAGUCCGUGGUUGCUAAUCUAGACGAGGUCAGAUUUAUAAAGGGAACUCGCUUCUCCUUGUAGUUUAUCAACCCUUUCAACAUCCUUCCACGCCAACAACGUGCAAUUACUGGUGUUUCACAGACAGGCUCUCUUUCUAGCAGUCAGGAGCGUGGAAACAACCGAGAGUAAGUUUUUGCUGGGUAUUAAGUGCUUCAUAACUUUUAUCCAGGUAAAUCUCUGCGUUAACAACAUAUCCCUCUCACACAGGGUCCAGUGCAGCAGUGACCCAAGGACCAGGCUUGAGUCCUUAGAGAAAAGAACUGAGAGAGAAUUUGAGAAAGACUGUGAUCACCAAGGACUUUGGAAGGACUUUGGAAAAGAAGGACCUCUGCAUCAGGACCCAGAAAACAAAAUGUACCACCCAGUGAGGGGAGGAGCAUUCUCCCCACUUCUGCAGGGGAGACAGUCCACAGUGCAUGUAUUGAGGUUAAAUAAAAUCCCACAUAGCUCUACAGGGUGAACCUUACUUCAUCAUCUGAUCUGCUCCUUGAAAGUAAAGAAGAUAAGAAUGGAAAAGUAAAAUAUAUCUAUGAGUCAUAAAAAAAUAAUUCUUUCAGUCUGGGGUGGUUUGAGAAAGCACUAAAGAAAGAUUAGAGAAUGAAUUCAGAUAAGAAGCAAUUUCAUAAUCUCUCCGAAGGUUAUUAUCCUGGUUUCAUUUGCCAUACCAGGAAUGUUGGUCCCUGGAGAAAAAUGCCAAACAAGUAUAACAAGUAUCAACUGAGAACACUCUGACUGGGAAGAAUGCUAUUUGUCUUUCACGAUGAGGACUUGAGAAGAGUAAUAGCCAUUGGUGAACUCCCAGGAGUGAAGGUAAGAGCCGCUUCACUUUCUGCCCUAAUCUCCCAGGAGCACAGGAAAUGCCGUAUGCAAGUCACUUUCCCAUUUGAUGGACCGCCAGUUCUUGGUUUAUAAACUGCAUCAAAGAAUUGCCAUGGGAAGUAAUCGUUAUAUUCAAGAGAAGCACUUAGCAAUCCUCCCAGGAGAAGCACUAUAAAUCUCCCCGCUCCUCUGUGGAGCUCGGGAGGCAGUGCGCUCUGUGUUUAGGAUCUCAGGAUUCGACGCUACAAUCGUGCUGUUUGCUUGAGUU